CGGUUGAUCCUGCCGGAAGGCCAUUGCUAUUGGAGUCCGAUUUAGCCAUGCUAGUCGUACGAGCUUAGACUCGUGGCGAAUAGCUCAGUAACACGUGGCCAAUCUCCCCUCCAGCGGCGGACACCCUCGGGAAACUGAGGCUAAUCCGCCAUACACCUCUCACACUGGAACUGUCGAGAGGCCGAAACGCUUCGGCGCUGGAGGAUGUGGCUGCGGCCGAUUAGGUAGACGGUGGGGUAACGGCCCACCGUGCCGAUAAUCGGUACGGGUUGUGAGAGCAAGAGCCCGGAGACGGAAUCUGAGACAAGAUUCCGGGCCCUACGGGGCGCAGCAGGCGCGAAACCUUUACACUGCACGACAGUGCGAUAAGGGGACUCCGAGUGCGAGGGCAUACAGUCCUCGCUUUUCUGGACCGUAAGGUGGUCUAGGAACAAGUGCUGGGCAAGACCGGUGCCAGCCGCCGCGGU
rnacentral:rRNA from 1 species